GUGGGGAAUAUUGGACAAUGGGCGCAAGCCUGAUCCAGCCAUGCCGCGUGAGUGAUGAAGGCCCUAGGGUUGUAAAGCUCUUUCACCGGUGAAGAUAAUGACGGUAACCGGAGAAGAAGCCCCGGCUAACUUCGUGCCAGCAGCCGCGGUAAUACGAAGGGGGCUAGCGUUGUUCGGAAUUACUGGGCGUAAAGCGCACGUAGGCGGGUAUUUAAGUCAGGGGUGAAAUCCCGGAGCUCAACUCCGGAACUGCCUUUGAUACUGGGUACCUAGAGUAUGGAAGAGGUAAGUGGAAUUCCGAGUGUAGAGGUGAAAUUCGUAGAUAUUCGGAGGAACACCAGUGGCGAAGGCGGCUUACUGGUCCAUUACUGACGCUGAGGUGCGAAAGCGUGGGGAGCAAACAGGAUUAGAAACCCCUGUAGUCC
rnacentral:rRNA from 1 species